rnacentral:rRNA from 1 species
CCCUUAGAUGUUCUGGGCGGCCCGCGCACUACAAUGGCGUGUGCAGCGAGUGCCGAAGUAGAGUUUUCCGAGGUAUUCUUGCAAUGCUCGUUUUGAUGGGGAUAGACCCUUGCAACUGUUGGUUUUGAACGAGGAAUUCCUUGUAAGCAUGGUUUAUCAUCCGACGCUGAAUGCGUCCCUACCCUUUGUACACACCGCCCGUCGCUCCUACCGAUGAGUCGUCCGGUGAAGUUCGUAGACCUCGUGAUCGCGGAUCACUGGGGGAAGCAAAAUGAACCUCGCGGUUUAGAGGAAGGAGAAGUCGUAACA